AAUUAACAAGCAAUCGGUUUAAAACAAACAUAAGGAAAUAUUUCUCCACACAAUGAACAGUCAACCUGUGAAACUCGUUGCCAGAGGAUGUUUUGAAGGCCAGAAGUAUAACUGGAUUAAAACAAUAGGUAAGUUCAUGCCAGAUAGGUACAUUAAUGGCUAUUAGGCAAGACUGUCAGGGACACAACAACCCCAUGCUCUAAGUGUCUAUAAACCUCUGACUGCCAAAAGUUGUGACUAAAUGAUUGGACGUAUCACUCAAUAAAUUGCCCUGUUCUGUUCAUUCCCUUUGAAGCAUAAGGCACAGACCUUGUUGGAAGACAGGACACUGAGCUACAUGGACCAUUGGUCUGACCCAGUAUAGCCAUUCUUAUGUUUUCAGAAAAGGGUGGGUGCAAUUCUCCAUGCAAGGGCAAAGCACUGUUAUUACAGAUGCAGGAAACUGAGGCACAGCUGGGUUCUCCUCUAUAUUUACCGCAAGGUACUUGGCACACAGCGGAGCCAAAAAUAUUAAAAACAGAUUCUUCCAGACCCAAGGAACUCACAUGGCAUCCAAAAGGAUCUGCACCAUCUCCAGAUCCGGCACAUCAAAAUGCAACAAUGGGUGGGGGAGGAGGGAAAAAACAGGCUCCAGAAAGAGUUUGGCUGGAUCAAUAAUGGCAGAGUUCCCUCAUCUCCCAUUGUUUACAUGGGCAAUUCUGGGUGACCAGCAACUGAGAAAAUCGGGCUACUUAGGAUGCUUAACUUUAGACAACCAUGCUUUAAAAUGUUGUCACUACUAUAUGUAAAGUAGCAGAAUGGGAUAAAUAUGACUGAAGAUAAUGAAGUAAACUCAUAAGCUACCAAAUUUUAAAAUGCAUUUAUUAUUUAAAUGAUCUCCUGAUCUUAAAAAAUUGUGAACAAACAAAAUGGUCUUUACUGAGAGAAAGAAAAGAGGUAUCAAUAUAAAGCUGACAAUUAAUUUUCCAGUAACCAAUUUAGAUCAAGAAUAUUUGUCAUAACAGAUUUACGCACUGAAUGUAUAAAGCCUAAACUGGCAUAUAAAUAUGAAUCAAAUGCAUCACCUAAAUUUCUGCAUCAAUAAAAAAUAUAUUUUCAAGACAGGCUGAGAUAUAUGAGCAGAGUCAAUGCUCCUUACACCCCUGAGAGGAAGAAAAAAAUAUGUUUAUAUUAAUUUUUACUUGAAAUAAUCUCUGUUUGAUAGGGACUGUGACGCUAACAGACCAGGUACUGGCUCAUGCCAAGGCCCCAGGCCUCACUGAACUUACAAUUGCAUAGCUGGAAACCAGUCUUGUUUACUUAUGUUAGCAUCCUCGGAUGCUGUUUAGACUUUAUAAAAUGCUUGUGGGAUGCUGCAUGCAUUAAUCUAAUUUAUAAUCUCUAUAACCCAGGGUAUAAAUGUAUAUAGAAUAUAUCAGCACACAGCUGUGGCUCAUUGUAAAUCUCUAACUGUAUAACUCAACAAAACAGGAAAAUAGCAUUGAUUAAAGUAAAGUACUCCUCCUGCAUACAAGAAUGGCCAACUGAAAGCAAUUGAAAUAUUGCAUAGCAUCAAAGAACAGAGACUUUGUUGAUUCCAUUCCUAACUCGUGUCUCUUUUCAGUCCAUGAUUUUUACUGUCUAGCAAAGUUAUAAAUUUAAGCUCCCAGGCUCAUCUUUUGAGUGUCUUGUGUAGGUUUCCUUUGAGGUGAGGACUGAUAGGUGAGAUAUAGAGUGAUCAUUUUGUGAAAAGUGUUCACCUACUGGUGAUGUGGUGUUUUUGUCUUUUAUCAUUUUCCUGUUUGACUUAAUUCAAGAGUGUAAUGAUUGUCUCAUUUCACACACAUCAGUGGUUCUCAACCCAAGGCCCAUGGGCCACUUGUGGCUUAAUCAGCACACAAGUGCAGCCCAUGUGACAUCCUCAGGGCCAUACAGGUAGCAUAUAUAUUGUGCAGAUGGGGCCCAUAUAACACAGAGAGCUGCAUAUAUGGCCCACAAUGGUAAAUAGGUUGAGACUCACUGACCUACAUAGUUCUACUAGGGCAUUUAGUGUAAUGGAUGAGGUACACCCCAUGUUGUGAUAGGCAUAUGUAGGACCCAUAGAUCUUGAAAGGUGUGUUGUGGAGGGUGUUGACCAUUGUUGCAGUGGAGAUAUGUCUGCAUGGUUUGAAUCUAUUACUCUGGUAGGGGCUGGAGCUUUUGAGUUUGUGUAUCCUGAUUUGUUUGAAGCUUGUUUCUGAUGAGCUUGGAGAGAUUGUUUGAAGGCCAGAAGAGGGGGUUCAGGAAAUAUUUUUUUGAUGAUACCCCAAAUGGGUUCCAGUGGGGGCUGGUAGGUGAUAACUAGAGGUGUGUGGUCAGAGGGGUUUUUAUUUAUUGAAGCAGGUUCUCUCGGGAUAUAUGGAUGGCAACACCGCAUAUUUUCUAAAAGUAAAAUACUGAAAUUUUCAUUUUGUUCGUAUGCAAAACCCUAUUCAAUUUUUUAUAAAAAUAAUGACAGUGCAAAGUGUCUCAUAUUUAACAGUUUAUUAACACAAGCAGCACAAACAGGUUUCUUAUUUGCUUGGGUUUAGAAAUUAUAAAGUCAAAAUGCAACCUAACUGCUGUCAAUUGUUUUAGAAUGGCUUUUUAAUCCUUUCAUGCCAUGAUACAGAUUUGCCUUGCUCAUCCAUUGCCAGCAAUGGACACACUAAAUGUGCUGGUGCAAAGGAGUUAGUUGUUGAUACAAACUCUCAUCUGGGCUUUUUGGUUAACUUGUUUUCAUUACCUGUUCUUUGGUACAGGUAUUAGUAGAGAUAGGUAAAAUGCACAAACAUUUUCAUAAUAAAAUGUACAGUUCAGCUAAUAAAAACACAUGUACAUGUUUAUAUCACAUAAAAAGCAUGAAAAAUUCUGCCAAUAAAAUCCUCUACCACAUCAGUGCAAAAGCUAUUGGCCUUCUAAGGCGACAUAAAUGUACUCCUCUAAUAUAAAUAUUCAUUGCCUGCCUUACUCUAAUUAGCAUUCCUCAUCUGCAACAUUAACACACUUGCAAGAAAUUUUAUUCUGUGCUGCAUUCAUGAAAGCAUGCUGAGUACUCAUUGUACUUCUGGAGAGGCAAUUACUGAAGAUUUGGAAUUGCUGUCCUAAGCCCAUAUCUUAAGAUGUGGUUUUGCUACAGCUCAAGCACUUUAUUUACUAAGGUCAUUUAAAAAAAACCAAUCUAAUAUUAUUAUUUUACUAACACCAUUUUGCAUAUAAUCAUUGAAGCUAAUAAAAACAACUUAAAAAAAUACGAAUAUUUUGCUACAAAUCUUCAAAAUCAAAACUAAGGUUUGCACAGAACAAGUAAAUAUGAAAACACUUUCACAUCUUAAUCUUUGCAUGACUUUAGAGCAUUUGUUCAGCGCAGCCAUAUAGUAUUCAGUUGUGUCUGGUUUUUUAUGCUUGUGUCCAUUUUUAGCACUUCUCUAAUUGCCAUGGUAGCAUAAGUGGAUGGAGGAAGAGAGAAUUCCAUCUUCAAGGCCUUGAAUUUACCUUCUAUUACAUAAGAAAGAAGAGAUUAACUGGCACAUAUAGUAUACCUCCUCUGGGCAUUAUUUAAAUUGGGCUGAAGGGCUCACACAAUUUAAGAAAU